AUUGACUGCAUUGCUCUAGAAACACGUGCACUGGACUACUGCCCAGAGCUGGGCUGCAGACUCCGUGCGUUCAGAAAGUAAAUCACAGGCACAAACCUACAACUCUGGAAUGGAAAGUGUAUGCAGAGGCCCAGGCCAGAGCUCUGGAAGAAUUCUAUGCAAGGUUUCCUCCUGUCACCAAGGAAGGAACAUUCCGAAGCCACAUUCUGGGUAGCUGGGUGGUAGCAGCUGCCAGUGGGUGAGGCUAGAGGCCAACACCCAAAUCCUUGACUCUGCCCUUCCUCCAACAUCCCAAAAGAAGCCAUAAGAGGAGUUGGAAUGGGGUGAGGGAGUGCUGCCUUUGAAAUUCAACCCCAGGCUUGCUAAAACCCACUCUAGGGUCCUCUGUGCCUCUUUCAGGAGUUGCUAGAGCCUCUGACUUCUCAGCUAUGAGGGUGUGUGUUUGUGUUCUAAAGAAAACACCUGGUUCAGGGGUUUGGGCUUUUUAUUUUUUUGUUGGUUUUGUUUUGUUUUUCCUUAGGGUCAGGAAAGAUUGGUGACUGAGUGAAUCUGAUAUAUUGAGUGUAAAGCUGUGUGAGUUGGAAUGUCUCAUUACCUCAGGGCACGGCAAAUGAGGAGGGGAGCCAAGAGCAAAGCCCCAAAGGUUGGAUCCCCUCUGUGAGCUUGCCUACCUUUGUGGAACAAAGCACAACACACAGAGCAUGCAUAAUGGUAAGUUAAUAAUACUGACCGCUCUUCCAGAGGACCAGGGUUCAAUUCCCAGCAUUCACAUGGCAGCUCACAACUGUCUGUGACUCCAGUUCCAGGGGAUCCAAUACCCUCACACAGACAUAUAUGAAAGCAAAAACACCAAUGCACAUAAAAAUAUUUUAAAAAAAGAAGCCAUGGAGCCUUCUAACUGCCUACUCCAAAAUCAACCACUGCUUUCCACAACUGGCAUUUCAUGUGGUGGAACAUGCAAGCUGGAUAGUGAUUUCUUUUCAACAUUCAUACCAACUUUGGAAAAGAAGAAUCACAAAUAACAAAGCCUGAGCUUCCCUGACCCAAACACAAAGGAUAUAGAGAGCAGGGCUUUAUCAGCCCAUCUGGGGAGCAGAGGACAUUAAAAUCCCAUCAUUCAUCCUAGAAGUAGGGAAUCUCACCAAAAAUGUGAAAAACCAACCACCUUCUUAUCAGACCUCUUCAACUGAGAUGAUCCCCAAAGGCGGUAGCCAGCUUGCCCUUUACUUCUACUGCAGAAACUCCUGCAGCGUUGUUGACUCCAUCUGAGAGCAUCAAAUCUCAAGAAGGACUGAGCAAGUUCAAGGUGGUGGGUGAGAACUUGCUUUCACUGGAGAGUCACAGCUGACUAAGAGUCACAGCUGGAUGCAGACGGAGAAUGAGAUUCUGGAAGCACAAAGAAUGAAUUCUCACUCCACUCUGGAUAUCUGCCUGGGACCAUGGUUCUUCAGCCAGUGGAAGAAUGCUCAUGAUCAAGACUCCUUCUGUGUAUUCCAGGUCCCUGCUGAACUUCAUAGUCUGGAAGUCUUGGCUGCUCAAAUUUUCUCACAGCCUGUCUUCCUGCAAAACACUCACAGAAAGAACAUAUGGGGCUGGUCUCAAUAUGGAUGCAGCUAAGACAUCAACCAUAGUGGAUCCAGAAUCAUCCCAUCUUUUUGUCCAUGGAUGCCUUGUUAUCAGGUCCAACCUCUUCAUUCUCCAACCCUAUUCCACUGCCAUCUUGUUGAGUGAUCAUGGGCAAAGGUUUAACCUCUCUUGGUUUCGAUGUAGUCACAUGUAAACUAUGUGCUAGAUAGUUUCUGUGUUCCCUCCUGUUCCAGGACUUGGCCCUUUGGAAACAAAGUGCUUUAUCAUUCAGUACACAAGAAGGCACUAACUAGUGCUGUGUCAAGCACUGGCUGCAAGAAACAACAAUUUUUGUUUAUUAAUUGUUAUUUUCUUACUCUUUCUAACAAGCAAUGGUCCUCUCUGACCAUCAGGCUUCUUAGAACCCUUCAGCAGCUUCCCCAUCGUACUUUGUAGAAACAUCAAGACAAAGUGGCAUCCUAUCCUGUGACAUUACCUCACACUUAGUUAAUACACUCCAGAUGCACCAGCUUUCUUUCUGUCUCUCUCUUUCUGGAAUAGGCUGAGCCAUAUCAACUAAAGACUUUUUGCAAGAACUUUUUGUCCUACCAGGAAUGUUCAUCCCCAAGGCAACCUAUGAUUGUCCCUUUCUCAUCAUAUAUGUCCUCAGGGUACCUUGUGAGUUAGUCUCCCCACUUUCAUUUACCUUGUUUUAUUAUGGCUAGUGGAUGAAACCUAUUGUCUAUAGAUUCUUUUGUGCUGCAAGAGCUGGCUGAAUAUUAUGUAUGAGGCAUAGACACAGAGACUGUACCAUCUGCUAGUUGAAAACAUUCAUCAUCUGGUUUAUGUAGGGAAAGAUUUCUAAUCCCUGUAUCCUAUAGUGUCAUUUAUUCACAGUGCAUAUAGUAUUUUAACUGUUAAACCAAACUUCUUCCUAUUUUGUUUGCUUUUAACUUUUUUCCCUAACAAGAAUGUAAAUGCCUUCAAGUUAAGGGACUCAUCUGUCUUGAUCUAGGUGGUUUUAUUAGCCUGACACAAAGCCAAUAAAUAAUGGUAGAACAGAUGGACCAGGUCUAUUUCCUUUUGCUCAACAGAAGCAACAAAAAGUUUAAUAUUCAUCAUAAAAUAAAACUCUCCACCUCCUGGCCUUUACAACAGUCCCAUGAUCCACUGCCAAGCUCUUCUCUACCCCUGCCUCUAAUUCUCAUUAUGUUAAUUUUUUUUUUUUUUUGCUUUGUGCUGACACUCCUAACUGCCAGUAACUUCUUUCCUCUCUCUCUGACAACUCUCUGGCCCAGUUCUUGGCCCUCAGUGAAACUUGCAGCCCUCCAGGCAGAAAUUGAUUGCUAGGAUGCCAAUUCAGGCCAGUACUGCCUCCCUUUUAGAUAUUUAUGGGCAGGGCUCUGAAUUGUGAGGGACUCAUGAACUCAGACACAUUUUUAAGAGAACUUUAUAGUUAAACCUCUGUUUGGCUAAGGGCUUAUUUUUAAAAAUAAUAAAUCUAGGUUCUUAGAGAAUAGAACUCAAGGGGCAGAAGUUUGAAUCUAUAAAGUUCACAUAUCAGUCAUGGAGGAGCCCUUGCAGCCAUCUAGUGUUUCUCAAACUUCUCUAUCUCAGUCCACCUAAUGGUAGAUCUGAAUAUCAUAUCUCCCCACAUGGAAAAAGAGUCAGUGCUUACACUAAAUCUCCAUAAUGUUUUUCACUGCGAUAAUUCAUUAUAACAUUGUGCUGGUUGGUUUUUGUCAACUGGACAUAAACCUAGAUAUACCAGAGGAGAGAGAAUAUAAACUGAAAAAAUUGCAUAUCUCAGAUUUACCCAGGGGUUAUCUGUAGGGUAUUGUGGACUGUGGGGGUAUAGUCUUUAUUAAUGACAGAUGUGAGAGGGCCCAGCUCACUGUGGGCAGUGCCAUCCCUGGGCAAGAAGUCAUGGCUUCUAUAAAGCAGCAGUCUGAGCAAGCCAUGAGGAGCAAUUCAGUAAGCAGCACCCCUCUAUGUCCUCUCCUUCAGUUUCUACCCUUUAUGAUGGACUACAAACUGUAAGCCAAAAUAAACCCUUUCCUUCCAC
rnacentral:lncRNA from 1 species